CUCAGGGAGGUAGUGACAAGAAAUAACAACACUGGAAAUUUUAUUUCUAGUGAUUGGAAUGAUGGGAAUUUAAACCCCUUUCAGAGUAACAAUUGGAGGGCAAGUCUGGUGCCAGCAGCCGCGGUAAUUCCAGCUCCAAUAGCGUAUAUUAAAGUUGUUGCAGUUAAAAAGCUCGUAGUUGGAUGUCUGCUGGAAGCAAUCAGUCCGCCCUAUUUGUAGGGUGUGCACUUGAUGAAUUCUGGCAUCUAUGUCCUAAUGUGAUAGAUACGGCGGUGUAUAUGGGUUAAUCCUAUAUACCCGUUUUUGUAUAUUAUAUUGGGAUAAUACCGUUACUUUGAGAAAAUUAGAGUGUUUGAAGCAGGCUAAUUGCCUUGAAUACUGCAGCAUGGAAUAACAAUAUAGGAUUUCGGUUCUAUUUUGUUGGUUUCUAGGACUGAAAUAAUGAUUAAUAGGGACAGUUGGGGGCAUUCGUAUUUAACUGUCAGAGGUGAAAUUCUUAGAUUUGUUAAAGACGAACUACUGCGAAAGCAUUUGCCAAAGAUGUUUUCAUUAAUCAAGAACGAAAGUUAGGGGCUCGAAGACGAUCAGAUACCGUCGUAGUCUUAACCAUAAACUAUGCCGACUAGAGAUAGGAAA
rnacentral:rRNA from 1 species